rnacentral:rRNA from 1 species
UUAGAGGAAGUAAAAGUCGUAACAAGGUCUCCGUUGGUGAACCAGCGGAGGGAUCAUUACUGAGUUUACGCUCUACAACCCUUUGUGAACAUACCUAUAACUGUUGCUUCGGCGGGUAGGGUCUCCGUGACCCUCCCGGCCUCCCGCCCCCGGGCGGGUCGGCGCCCGCCGGAGGAUAACCAAACUCUGAUUUAACGACGUUUCUUCUGAGUGGUACAAGCAAAUAAUCAAAACUUUUAACAACGGAUCUCUUGGUUCUGGCAUCGAUGAAGAACGCAGCGAAAUGCGAUAAGUAAUGUGAAUUGCAGAAUUCAGUGAAUCAUCGAAUCUUUGAACGCACAUUGCGCCCGCCAGCAUUCUGGCGGGCAUGCCUGUUCGAGCGUCAUUUCAACCCUCAAGCUCUGCUUGGUGUUGGGGCCCUACAGCUGAUGUAGGCCCUCAAAGGUAGUGGCGGACCCUCCCGGAGCCUCCUUUGCGUAGUAACUUUACGUCUCGCACUGGGAUCCGGAGGGACUCUUGCCGUAAAACCCCCAANUCCAAAGGUGACCUCGAUC